AUACGUAGGGGGCAAGCGUUAUCCGGAUUUACUGGGUGUAAAGGGAGCGUAGGUGGUUCGGUAAGUCAGAUGUGAAAGCCCGGGGCUCAACCCCGGGACUGCAUUUGAAACUAUCGGGCUAGAGUGCAGGAGAGGUAAGUGGAAUUCCUAGUGUAGCGGUGAAAUGCGUAGAUAUUAGGAGGAACACCAGUGGCGAAGGCGGCUUACUGGACUGUAACUGACACUGAUGCUCGAAAGCGGGGGGAGCAAACAGGUUUAGAGACCCUGGUAGUCCGCGCCGUAAACGAUGAAUACUAGGUGUCGGGGCCCUUCCGGGCUUCGGUGCCGCAGCUAACGCAAUAAGUAUUCCACCUGGGGAGUACGUUCGCAAGAAUGA
rnacentral:rRNA from 1 species